CGGUGACCGUGGCAGUGUAGGUGGAAGCGGCGGUGGAGGAGGAGGAGGUAGCCAACACUGUUUUUUAUAUAUCUAUUUUUUUAUUUUAAUUAGGGUAGCCCCCAAAAUAUUAUGACAUAAAAAAAAGAAACAUUUGCGGCCUGCGGUGCAUUUCUUGCAGUCCUGAUGCAUGGAGAAAUGCUCAACUCCUGAUGCAUGGAGAAAAGGCCUUCACAAGCCUCUGCUAUUGUGUACAUACUAGUUUAUACUAAGUGACCCAUAAGUUCAGGAGGCGGUGACCGUGUUUCUGCGCCUACCAUGGUGACCACGGGUAACAGGGAAUCAGGGUUCCAUUCCAUACAGGGACCCUGAGAAACGGCUACCACAUGCAAGGAAGGCAGCAGACGUGCAAAUGACCCACUCCCGACGCGGGAAGAUAGUGAUGACAAAUAACAAUACAGGACUCUUUAGAGGCCCUGUAAUUGUAAUGAGUCCACUUGAAAUCCUUUAACUAUCAUCAAUUGCAGAGCCACUGACCCAUGCGUGCUGCAG